UCUCUUCCCCUUCUUAAUCGUCUGAUUGCUAAAGGUUGAGGAUGGGGUUUGGGGUUAACCUCUCUAUAAAGCGCCGAAGCCUUUUCUUUUCCCCCGACUUUCUCCUCUGUUCUUCCUCUGCUUCUCGCGACUUCGGACUUCACGCGACCGAGACCGGCGAUUUCUUCUUCUCUCGGUGGCGCCGGCGAAGAGCGGACCUUGGAGCGUUGAGAGGAAGAGAGGUUAGUUACAGCCGAACCUUCUUUCUCCCCGAUCCCUUCCUCCCUUCUCUGAUCUCGGUGAACAACGGCGACGGAUCUCGAUCGGUGGAUUUCGCCGGCUGUCGGGAGGGAACCAAGGGCAUCGGCGUUGGAUCAGGCCAGCAUCGAUUGUUUGGAGGAGGUGGUUCUUUCUGGGAAGCAGAGACUGGUAUUUUGGUCCCGGCCACCACAGCUCUGUUGGAUCGAUCUCUUCUUCGUAUCAGUGAUCGUCUCCGGUGAUUGAAGGGUGCAGAGAGGAUGCGAUGUGCUUAUUUUAGAUACUGGAUUGGGAAGUGCAGAUAAUCAAGCAAGGGUCAAGGAGUUGCUUCAUGUGGAGGAAUCAAAACUAGAGGAGGAUGAGGGAAAUACCACUCCAGCAGUGAGAUGGGUUCGAGAUGAUAAAUAUGAUUGCAUCCGAUUAAAGCAUUGCAAGUAAUUUGAUGAGUGUUGUUGCAUCAUUCUAUAAGGCAAUUUUAGCAGUUACAACAGGGAUAUCUGUGCCCUUCAACAACUUGGCUAUUAUAUACAAGCAACAGAGACUAUGCUUUGCAUCGGAAGUGAAUGGCAUCGUUAUCCUUCUUCAUUUUUUAUGCCUUCGUACAUUAAGGAAGUUCAAUGGAUAAAUGAAGGAUUUAGGGGUCUUCUCCCAUAUCCUUUUAAUUCAAGUUUGGGAGGCAUGACAACUACCCCACCUUAUUUCAAUGACAAGAACAAGGCUUCAAGAUAUCAAACUCUACACCUUCUAUAUGGAGCUAGAUUUGCAAAAGCCAUAUCCAACUCGAGGAAGUGACUUAUUGACAUGGGAGAGAACUUAUUGGUAACCAAGGACUUUGUGAAGAUAGCAAAUUUUGGCCUUGCUCGUGAAGUUCAUUCGAAGCCACCAUUCACAGAAUAGGUUUCAACACGCUGUUUACAAAUCUCAAGUACUCCAGAGUUGAAAUUGAUGAAAUGCAGUUCGAGUGGGCUGA